UACGUAGGGGACAAGCGUUGUCCGGAAUUAUUGGGCGUAAAGCGCGUGUAGGCGGCCAAGUAAGUCUUACGUGAAAUCCCCGAGCUCAACUCGGGAACUGCGUCCGAUACUGGCGGGCUUGAAUCCGGGAGAGGGAUGCGGAAUUCCAGGUGUAGCGGUGAAAUGCGUAGAUAUCUGGAGGAACACCGGUGGCGAAGGCGGCAUCCUGGACCGGCAUUGACGCUGAGGCGCGAAAGCCAGGGGAGCAAACGGG
rnacentral:rRNA from 1 species